AUGGCCUCUUCGAAGAUCCCCUAAACGCCCCAAAUGGUUAGGGGAUUCAAAGCGAAGCCAAGAAUGACGCCGUCUUGCCUUUAGGAAAAUAUAUGGCUUGAUUUCCCGAGACACCUUAAGUUGACUAUUUCGUCAUCUGUUUAGGUUCAAGGAUUGGGUUACAUUU
rnacentral:snoRNA from 1 species